rnacentral:rRNA from 1 species
UGGCUCAGGACGAACGCUGGCGGCGUGCUUAACACAUGCAAGUCGAACGAUGAACCUGCUUCGGUGGGGGAUUAGUGGCGAACGGGUGAGUAACACGUGGGCAAUCUGCCCUUCACUCUGGGACAAGCCCUGGAAACGGGGUCUAAUACCGGAUAAUACUUCUGCCUGCAUGGGUGGGGGUUGAAAGCUCCGGCGGUGAAGGAUGAGCCCGCGGCCUAUCAGCUUGUUGGUGGGGUGAUGGCCUACCAAGGCGACGACGGGUAGCCGGCCUGAGAGGGCGACCGGCCACACUGGGACUGAGACACGGCCCAGACUCCUACGGGAGGCAGCAGUGGGGAAUAUUGCACAAUGGGCGAAAGCCUGAUGCAGCGACGCCGCGUGAGGGAUGACGGCCUUCGGGUUGUAAACCUCUUUCAGCAGGGAAGAAGCGCAAGUGAC